GGGUAAUAGAAUAGGUGACUCAAGGGUGGCCGGCUCACUCCCCGUAAGAAAGGGGGUGGUGCCAUGUCAGUAUAUGAAGCAUUGAUGCUUAUGUUUACAUUUGGAGCAUUGAUCGUAUUGUUGCUGUCGUUUAACCAUAAAAAAUAACCCAUCCUUGAGUUAGGCGCUCGUAAGGGUGGGUUAUCUCUUCCCGUUACAGCCGAUCCCCUGAAGGGAACCUGCUAUUACAUCGGCCGUUUCAAUGUUGACGCAUUGGAC
rnacentral:sRNA from 1 species